GGGCCCGCACAAGCGGUGGAGCAUGUGGUUUAAUUCGAUGAUACGCGAGGAACCUUACCAGGGCUUAAAUGUAGUGGGACAGGUCUAGAGAUAGACCCUUCUUCGGACUCAUUACAAGGUGCUGCAUGGUUGUCGUCAGCUCGUGCCGUGAGGUGUCAGGUUAAGUCCUAUAACGAGCGCAACCCCUAUCGUUAGUUGCCAGCGGGUAAUGCCGGGAACUCUAGCGAAACUGCCGGUGCAAACCGUGAGGAAGGUGGGGAUGACGUCAAAUCAUCACGGCCCUUACGUCCUGGGCUACACACGUGCUACAAUGGUCGGUACAGAGAGCAGCCACUACGCGAGUAGGAGCGAAUCUUCAAAACCGAUCUCAGUUCGGAUCGGGGUCUGCAACUCGGCCCCGUGAAGCUGGAAUCGCUAGUAAUCGGAUAUC
rnacentral:rRNA from 1 species